rnacentral:lncRNA from 1 species
GCCACCCUACCUUUGAACGCUCUGCACUGCUGAAGCACACACACUCCAACAGGGACUAUCUUGCGUGAUCUUCACGAUUGCACUGAGACAGGCAGAGGAAGGCAAAGGUGAGGUAGAGUUGGGAGACUUACCUGAGGUCACAUAGUCAGCUUCACCCGAUUAUCAGGAAAGUAACCCUGUGAACCCUAGCUGGGGAGAAGAACCUAAAGGCAAGAGAGAGAACCGUUCUAUAGGGCCCUGGAGGAUUUGCCAUCAACUGAAGGAAGGUAGGGUUCCACACAGUCUCUGGAAGAUGAGGUAAGAAUAGUCAGUGAUCCAGUUUGAUUAUGUAACCACAUGCAGCAAGAGCUCUAAAUUUACCAUUGAAAAUAUCUUCCCAACAAUGUCAGGCAGAAAAUUGUUAGGCCAGCCGGGAAAGGCUCAGGUCUGGGAAAAGAGUCAUUCCAAACCCAGAAAAACAAUGACUCAGAAGAGAUGAUCUUCCAUUUCCUAAUUCUUAUUCUUAAUACCAAAUAAAAUCCUUCUUUUUGCAAGCUAGA